rnacentral:lncRNA from 1 species
GCAUAACCAGAAUUUCAUAAUGCUCGCAGCAUGUGCAAAACGUUGACACUGGCAUAUGAUCCCUCUUAAUCUUCAACUGGUGAUACCCAGACUGCAAUUCUAUCUUGGAAAAACACUAAGCUCCUUGAAGUUGAUCAAACAACUUGGCAAUGAAGAGGUGACGAUGUUUACACUUUACUACCACCUUAUUUAUUUGUCCGUAAACAACACAUAAUCACAUCAAUUCACCUUUCUUCUAACCACACAAUACUUGGGUUCUAUAUUUUCGGUGAAUAAAACUCUUAUGGAGGUAUGAAUGUGGGCUGAGUGUUAG